CAGCCGCCGCGGUAAUACGAAGGGGGCUAGCGUUGUUCAGAAUUACUGGGCGUAAAGCGCACGUAGGCGGAUAUUUAAGUCAGGGGUGAAAUCCCGCAGCUCAACUGCGGAACUGCCUUUGAUACUGGGUAUCUUGAGUAUGGAAGAGGUUAGUGGAAUUGCGAGUGUAGAGGUGAAAUUCGUAGAUAUUCGCAGGAACACCAGUGGCGAAGGCGGCUAACUGGUCCAUAACUGACGCUGAGGUGCGAAAGCGUGGGGAGCAAACAGGAUUAGAGACCCCAGUAGUCCCUGUCUCUUAUAC
rnacentral:rRNA from 1 species